rnacentral:tRNA from 1 species
GGGGAUAUGGCUCAGUGGCAUAAACACCUGCCUGGUGAGUGCAAGGACCUGAGUUUGAUUCUCAGUAUCCUCC